rnacentral:misc_RNA from 1 species
CUACACUCCGCGCAAGCUUUAUAGUAUCGUUUCCCGCGGCGACGCUCUCACACACUCCCGCGCCGCUGCACUGAACGUGGUAUCCGAUCCCUCUUCUCGCGCCAGGACCCUAGCAUCCCCUUUCCCCAGCACGAGAUAAGACCACCACUACUACCCUACCACUCUCCGUCACCACCACCACCACCAUCACCACCACUUCUUCCUUCUCCUCCACCACCUCCUCCACCACCACCUCCAUGCUGGCCACCAUGUCGUUCCCGGAGGCCAUAGUGACGUCAUCGUGUGGGCGGGAGGAGGCGGAGCUGAAGGUGGGAGUGGGCGGGACCUUAGGACUAGCCACGCCCACCGCCCACACCCCUGACGCCCCAUCAAGACUCACCACCACUACCACGGCCUCGUCCACCACCACCCACCACCACCACCACCACCCGCCGCCUGCUGACCUCCCCGCCCUCGCCGCAGACCUUCUCCCUCAGGAUAACCUCGCAGACUCCCCUCCGAUAUUCUCACCCCCUGCGCCAGCCACCCCUGUGUACUCCCCUGUGUCUCCCUUCGGCGGUAGAAUUGACACCAAUUACUUCUUCCCGUGUGGUCCUUCCUCCCAUCUCUUCCCGCCCUCCUCCGCCUCCUCCACGCUCUCCACAGCCGGCAGGAGCUCCCCAGAAACAGAGAUCAUCAAGAGCAACCUUCUCGGCUCCAGACUUCGGGACAAGAGGUACGAUUCUGUGGCAGAGUCCGAAGGAGGCUCCGCGUCUGACUGCACGGAAGGGGAACGUUCGCCCACGCAGGUGUAUUCCCCCGAGCUGGAGCGCGAGGGCUUUUCAGGGGUUCGGCACCACCAGCCCCUGGACGUGCUAGGCAUGGACAUUCCCUACGACAUGUACACCACGAGGGGCGGCACGUACACGCCCACCAUGCAGGACGUCACUGGCACGCCCGCAAACAUGUGGACCCAGCAAGCCCAGGAAUAUGGCAUGCAGGAACUCAACACCAUGAAGACCUCCUCGCCAACACCACCGCUUAACUUCACGCAGCGGAUGUACAGCACGGGCCAGGUUCACCAGCGACAGUCCUGCCCCCUGCCAAACGCCACCACCCUGCCGGCACUCAACCAGCUUCAACCCCAGACGCCUCUCCCUCGCACUGCUCUUAAUUACGGAGGCUACGACAUGACGGGAUCCUGGGCCGCUGCUACCGACUCUUACUACGGCGCCCAACAUGCACGCACCGCCCUAAAAGCAGCGGAGGGCGGCGGGCCGCGGGACUCAGGCUGGGAUUGUCGUGAGUGCGCCAACUGCGGCGUGUCCAGCACUCCCCUGUGGCGCCGCGACUACUUCACCGGCCACUACCUGUGCAACGCCUGCGCCCUCUACAACCGCAGCAACGGCGUCAACAGGCCCCUCGGCCGGACUCCCACGCGCCGCCCAUCUGGGCAGCGGCGGUCCAGCCAGAUCUGCACCAACUGUCACACCACAGUCACCUCCCUGUGGCGCCGCAACAGCCAAGGCGACCCGGUGUGCAAUGCGUGCGGUCUUUACUUCAAGCUGCAUAACGUGAACCGCCCCAUCACCAUGAAGAAGGAGAGCAUCCAGACAAGGAAGAGGAAAUCCAAGAACAGGAAUGACAGCAAGCAAUCCUCCACCUCCUCCUCUUCCUCUUCCUCCUCCACCUCCUCCUCUGCUACGAUUGGCGUCACCACCACCUCCUCCACCAUUACCUCCUCCUCUUCCUCUAAUUCCACAACUUCCUCCUCCACCUCCGCCACUGUCCCCGCCACCAGCUCCUCCACCUCCACCAUCUCCUCCUCCAAGUAUCAGCCGUCCUCCUCGCCCUCAGCCAGCUUGUUCGCCAUCAAGACGGAGCCGUCCCUGACCUACCCAGCCAUGUACAGCACCGGCUCCCCGUCCUCCCCCUACAGCCAACACGUGUCCUCGCCCACCGUCUCCUCUGCUUCCCUGCUGGGCGCCAACAUCCCGUCCAUGCUGCCCACCUACUCCCUGCCCAGCGUGAAGACUCCCCCCACCUCGGUGUCCGCAGUGGCAUCGUUGUCUUAUGACGUGAAGGACGAGCCCUUGUCUCCCCGAGCCACCAGCGGCCUGGCGGACCUCCCCAGCCUGGCCCAGAACCACACCAUCGCCCACCAAGUGGCAGGGGUCGCCAAUGUCGCCACGCGGGGCGCUGCCAUGCAGGGGACUUCCGUGGGUCAGACCCAGCUGCCCAUUUCCGUGUCCGCCGCUCGGGCCUGUCUUCUGUGGCUCACUACGCCUCUCCGGGGGUGAUGCUGCCUCAUAUCGUGGCAUCCGGCACCCUGAGCGCUGGCCUACAGGGCCACCCCUCCCCGCUAUCCCCCACCGCGCACCAGCACUCCCUGGAGCACCUCUCGUGGAAGGGCAAGUGAGUAGGCAAGCCCGCGCUGGCAGGGCGCCGCCAUGGCUCGGGGGCGGCACGGUGCUUGUCUGCUGACCUCCACUGAUCCGAGAGAGAGACUUCAGGGUGGCGCGGCGGACGGAGGUUAGAGCUGAGACGCUGAUCCCCUGUGAGGAGCCCAGGCCCCCGGUGUGAGGCUGCGGGGCCGCGCGCCACCUACCCGCGGCCUGCUGGGGCUGCGGCACGAGGCAGCGCCACCACCGCCACCACCACCACUACCACCGCCACACUACCAUUACCACCAUUACUGCCAUUCCCACUACGUCAGGAAGUUAGAUAUUCCAUUAUAAACUUCAACAGAGAGAGAGAGAGAGAGAGAGAGAGAGAGAGAGAGAGAGAGAGAGAGAGAGAGAGAGAGAGAGAGAGAGAGAGAGAGAGAGAGAGAGAGA